UGUAAGUUGAAGGGGCUCUUCACGCUGUAGCUGACACAUACUUUUUUUAAUUCAUUAUACAGUGAAUGCAUUAAAAAGUGUAACAAAAUAUUGACAAAUAAAAAGUUUCUGCAGUUACUAUAAAUUAUCAGGAUGUGCAGCUUCUGAAGUGAGCUCUGGACCAAUUUAGAAUUGACCAAACUAGAAGUGACUCAACUCUCAAGUUUUAAUAACUUUAUAGAAAAAGCAGGGAUUUGGACAAUUCUACUCUCAGUUGUCAGAUUACUGCUGUCGAAAGCUAAAAGCUGGAGUUCAACUCCCAGAAACCCUGAGAGCCACGACAUCACAUGUAGAAGUAUUUGUGGAGCAAUGCUGCAGGUUUGAGAGCGGUAUCCAAAGGGCAGGCAUAUAAAGAAAAACUAAUUACUAUUAAAAAAAAAAAUAAAGACGUUAUUUACAAUUUCAACUUGAAUGGUUACGUACAUGUAUUUUAAGAUCUUCAAUGGUUCCUUAUAUGUACAUAUAACCUCUUCAUGCUGUUGAGUAGCAUGUGGAAUGAAGAAAAAUUGAUAAAGAAACCAAGAUCCUUCCUUGAUCAAUUCAUUAUUUUAGAAAAGUUCCUAUGUACUGCCUUUCAACAUCUAGAAGUGAUUCAGAAAAACAUUGCUGACAAUGUUAAUGAUAUUAGUGACACUACUAUCAAAAUGUUUCAAUGGUUUUGUUAUGGGCAAAUUUAAAUAUUACAAGUUUUAGAAUGAAAUGUUGUAUUUCUUAAACUGUGUACUUUGUCUUUAAGAGAUAUUGCAAACUGACCAGGUGUUAGAAAUGGAACAUAUUGUUUUUCAUAACUGUUUCUUUAAGCAAUAACCUCAGUGCAUAAUAUGUUUGCGCCAUUUUGUCCCAGACGAAUUACAAUAACAAUAAUGCAUAAACAAGCUUCAAGGCUAUACUACGACACUUGCAGUACACAAUAUACUGUGGUAACCCCAAGUUAAUGGAACUUCCCCAAAUCCGGGAAUCUCCCACGACUGUACACUUACGACUUAGUAUAAACAACAGAUAACCUAUUCAGACUUUAAGAUGCCAUCUUGAACUAAGUCAGGAAAAUUUCCAUGACGUAUACUCCCCUUUAAGGGAGGUCCUAAAUUGAAUAAAGUAAAAGAAGUGUUACGUUUUCAUAUUUGAACUACGGUAACCUAAAAUGAAGACAGAGGUAUAAAUAGGUGUACUUUUAAAUGUUAAGAUACAGAGGAGAGACUUGGAGACAGACGCUGCUCCAUCUUAAAAUGACAGAGAGGCUGACAUGAUCACAUGUUCAGAAGGGUAUGUUAACCUAUUAAUGAUAUUUGCAAGCAUGUAAUUUAAUCUUAUAAACUCUGCU